CUUGGCAUGAGCAUCCUUGAGUGCCUGCUCCCCGUGAUGCUCAGCAUCUGUAAUGGUGGCCUCCAGGGAAGCCCUCUGGCCUUUGAGGCCCUCGAUCUGAGCCUGGAGCCGGCUGAUGUUCCGGUUCAUCUCGGAGAUCUCAGUCUUCGUACACCGCAGGUCAUCCCCAUGCUUCCCAGCCAGCAUCUGCAGCUCCUCAUACUUGAUCUGGUAUACGCUCUCCGCCUCAGCCCGGCUGCGGUUCGCAAUCUCCUCGUACUGCGCCUUGACCUCAUCGAUGGUGCUGUCCAUGUCCAGGGAGCGGCUGUUGUCCACGGACAGCACCACAGACGUGUCGGAGAUCUGGGAUUGCAGCUCCCGGAUCUCCUCUUCAUACAGCUGCCUGAGUGUUCCAGUUGCUUGCUGAAAGGGUGCCAGGAUCUGUGUGAUUUCCUGUGUGGUGACCCACUGCACCGGCUGAAACAACAGCACUGCCUGCGAAUCUCCUGGCCAGCUUAAAAGGGCAAUGAGACCAGUGUAUUUUGUAUGGAGAGCUGCCGCACCACAGAGCCAGCAAAACAGCCGCACCAGCUAAAACAGCCACGCUGGCCAAAACAGCCAUGCUGGCGACCUGUAGGGCUCUUCUGCCUAGGAAUCUCCUGGUCUGUGGGCAAUAAAUAUCCAUCUGGAAAUGCGGUGUCCA
rnacentral:lncRNA from 13 species